UACGUAGGGUGCGAGCGUUAAUCGGAAUUACUGGGCGUAAAGCGUGCGCAGGCGGUUCGUUGUGUCUGCUGUGAAAUCCCCGGGCUCAACCUGGGAAUGGCGGUGGAAACUGGCGAGCUUGAGUGUGGCAGAGGGGGGUGGAAUUCCACGUGUAGCAGUGAAAUGCGUAGAGAUGUGGAGGAACACCGAUGGCGAAGGCAGCCCCCUGGGCUAACACUGACGCUCAGGCACGAAAGCGUGGGGAGCAAACAGG
rnacentral:rRNA from 1 species